AGAAACUUCUCUUUUUUUUUUGGCUAAGAAAAUUGAGAGUUUACUACAAUGUAGCUUUUCUAUACAAAAACAAUCCCUGGCAAAAAAAGAUUAAAAACAGGUUAUGAAUAAACCGAAGUCAAAGGGAAACAUGAUUCCACAGUGACAAGCAUACGAAGGACCUAUGACUUAUUGACUUCAAAUAAGCCAAAAGGACAUGAGGGAGUUAAAUUUCUUGCGCUUCCUCAGCACGAAGAUGGUGUUGAUCACUUGCCUAUUGAUGUCCUUGAAGGUAGUCAAAGACGGGAUCAAUGUUUGGUUGUGAAAGUUGUUGUUCCUCUGUCUCCAAAUAGAGUGGAACAGAGCUUGAGAGACUAUUGAUUUUAGCACCACCGGAGAUGAAGUUAUCAUCCACGUGACGAAUUCAGACCAGCUUGUGAACACAGGGACAUGGCAUCGCAAGACGACGAGUCUUAGACCACAGGACAGAGGCAAAGGAACAUGAGAACAUCAAGUGAUCUCGGUUUUCUUGAGCCACAUCACAGAUACAAUAAGUUAAAUUAAGGUGUAUGAAUUCCCUAGCAAGCAAGACGGUUUCUAGUUGGUAGUCUGUCCAGGUAUGUAAUCCACAUGUGGAAGGCAUGCUUAGGAGUUGCCCCACUAAACCAAACCCAUGACGGCAAGACAAGCUUGGUUCCUCUAAGACCUCCCAAUUUUUAUAAGAUGAGUAGGAUGGACUCAAACAUCAUUUUUGCACCAAGCAAAAGAGUCAGAGCCUGAGAGAGCGUUAGGAGGAGUACCUGAGAGGAAAGCGUGAAGCAAGACCUCUUCAUCAGACCGUGGGUGAGGUAGGUUCCAACCGAGAGGUUGCAAGCGUCUGCUACAGUGGCUGUGAUAGGAAGCCUCGUCCUGCGAGUUCCAUCAGUUCCAAAGACAUUGAACAAAAGAACCUCAUUUGUACGUCGCCGUUCCUCAUCUGUGUAUAUUUCUGAUAGUCGUCUUACCUCUUUU
rnacentral:lncRNA from 1 species